rnacentral:lncRNA from 1 species
UGUGGAAGAAUUAUGGACUACAGAAGAAUUUAAGGUAUUGUUUUACAUACAUCGAUACUUCAUUAAUUUACUAUUUUAUAUUGUAAGUUGUUUAACAUUAUAUAUGAAUUCGCAGAGAAAAUCAAAAAUAAACAAAACAAACCGGAGUAAGAAGAUACUAAACCAUAAAACAGGGUCAAUUCCUUUCAGUGCAAUAAGAGAAAAUCUGCAAAGCGAAGGCAUUGAGGCAUCACGAAUCAAUGUUCUUCUGGAACUGACAACGAAGUCGUUGUAAGUUUUAGUUUAUUUUAUAAUGUUCAUAAAUAGUAGUUUAUUGAUCUACUCAUAGCUUAUUACUUAUUUUAUAGAGAAACUUGUCUGAGUAUUACAAAAGUGAUGAAAUUCAAGAAUUACGUCCAACAACGGAUGAAGAUGUAAGUUUUAAAUUAGUUUACUAUUUCAAAUUAUUCAAAUGUUUUAUUUUCUUAUAUAUUAUUUUUCGCACGUAGGUGAUUCAACAAAAAUGCAUUUCUAAGUUUAUUCAAAGCAAAAAAGGGAGGCACAUUGGACUUGGUGGAGGAUCAUUUGCUGAGUCGAGCACUGCUUCUACCAGAUUUUCAAUUGAAAGGAAUGCAAGAUCUAUCGACAAAGACAAAGAAAAAGAAAAAGGAAAAGAAAAAAUGAACGAUCGAAUGGAAAAGCUCAUGGAGGUAUGUGUAUGAAAGUCAAUAAAAUUUUAAAGUAAUACAUAAAUAUAAAUGAAUUUUAAAUGUUUUACAGGAUAAUCAAAUUUUAAAAAGGAAAUAUGAUGAAAUGUUUGAUAUGUUUGAAGACCUGAAGAAAACAGUUCUAUCUCAAUCAAAUACAACUCCACAACCUUCAAAUCGUGGAUCGUUGCAAGAUAGAAGUAUUAAUGCAGCUCAGAGUGAUCAAAAAGGCGAGCAAAAGGAGGGGGCAAGUAUUCAAACAACAAUCCUCACCUACGGAUGAACGUAGGUAGACGAGGAGUCACACUUAGCCUCAGUCGCAAAAAGGCGAGCAAAAGGAGGGGGCAAGUAUUCAAGUAACAGUCCUCACCCACGGAUGAACGUGGGUAGACGAGGAAGCACACUCAACCCCUAUCGCAGAAAGGCGGAAAAAAGGGGGGGCAAGUAUUCAAGUAAUAAUCCUCAUCCACGAAUGAACGUGGGUAGACGAGGAAGCACACUCAACCCCUAUCGCAGAAAGGCGGACAAAAGGAGGGGGUCGGGUACUCUCAAAACCCGCCACAGGGAAGAGAACCCAAACGGUGCUCAAGGACAGCUUAGGCAAGGCGUCAAGGUGGGCAAGCAGGGUUCCGCGGGAGAAUCAGGCCGGACAGGUGUGCAAGGAGUAGGCUUCGGCUAGGACAAACCGGACAAUAGUUGGCAAAAGCGCGUGACAACCUCCGUGGAAGCAUAGAUACAACCUCGCAGGCGUGGAGGGGGGGGAGCACUGGUGAGAGAGGAUCUUACAUCCAGGGACAUCACCAGAAAUCCACAUCCCAGCACGCAA